GACGAACGCUGGCGGCGUGCUUAACACAUGCAAGUCGAGCGGUAAGGCCCUUUCGGGGGUACACGAGCGGCGAACGGGUGAGUAACACGUGGGUGACCUGCCCUCAGCUCUGGGGAUAAGCCUGGGAAACUGGGUCUAAUACUGGAUAUGACUCCACGGUGCAUGUCGUGGGGUGGAAAGCCUUGUGCGGCUGAGGAUGGGCCCGCGGCCUAUCAGCUUGUUGGUGGGGUGANGGCCUACCAAGGCGACGACGGGUAGCCGGCCUGAGAGGGCGACCGGCCACACUGGGACUGAGACACGGCCCAGACUCCUACGGGAGGCAGCAGUGGGGAAUCUUGCGCAAUGGGACGAAAGCCUGACGCAGCGACGCCGCGUGAGGGAUGACGGCCUGG
rnacentral:rRNA from 1 species